rnacentral:rRNA from 1 species
CCUACGGGGGGCUGCAGUGGGGAAUUUUGGACAAUGGGGGCAACCCUGAUCCAGCCAUUCCGCGUGAGUGAAGAAGGCCUUCGGGUUGUAAAGCUCUUUCGGCCGGGAAGAAAUCGCAUCUCCUAAUACGGGGUGUGGAUGACGGUACCGGAAGAAGAAGCACCGGCUAACUACGUGCCCGCAGCCGCGGUAUUACGUAGGGGGCGAGCGUUAAUCGGAAUUACUGGGCGUAAAGCGUGAGGAGACAUGUGGAAUCCCCGGGCUUAACCUGGGAACUGCGUUUGUGAGUGGUGGGCUUGAGUGCGGCAGAGGGGGGUGGAAUUCCACGUGUAGCAGUGAAAUGCGUAGAGAUGUGGAGGAACACCGAUGGCGAAGGCAGCCCCCUGGGUCGACACUGACGCUCAUGCACGAAAGCGUGGGGAGCAAACAGGAUUAGAUACCCCAGUAGUC